rnacentral:rRNA from 1 species
CGUAGGGCGCGAGCGUUGUCCGGAUUUAUUGGGCGUAAAGAGCUCGUAGGCGGCUUGUUGCGUCGACUGUGAAAACCCGCGGCUCAACCGCGUGGCUUGCAGUCGAUACGGGCAGGCUAGAAUUCGGUAGGGGAGACUGGAAUUCCUGGUGUAGCGGUGAAAUGCGCAGAUAUCAGGAGGAACACCGGUGGCGAAGGCGGGUCUCUGGGCCGAUAUUGACGCUGAGGAGCGAAAGCGUGGGAGCGAACAGGAUUAGAUACCCUGGUAGUCCACGCUGUAAACGUUGGGCGCUAGGUGUGGGGGGCCUCUCCGGGUUCCCUGUGCCGCAGCUAACGCAUUAAGCGCCCCGCCUCGGGGAGUACGGGCCGCAAGGCUAA